UACGUAGGUGGCAAGCGUUGUCCGGAUUUACUGGGCGUAAAGAGCGCGCAGGCGGUCGUUCAAGUCGCGUGUGAAAGCCCCCGGCUCAACUGGGGAGGGUCACGCGAUACUGAUCGACUCGAAGGCAGGAGAGGGUAGUGGGAUUCCCGGUGUAGUGGUGAAAUGCGUAGAUAUCGGGAGGAACACCAGUGGCGAAGGCGACUACCUGGCCUGUUUCUUGACGCUGAGGCGCGAAAGCUAGGGGAGCAAACGGG
rnacentral:rRNA from 1 species